GGAGAGAUGGCUGAGUCUGGCUGAAGGCGCUCGCCUGGAAAGCGGGUAGACGGGGACACCUGUCUCGAGGGUUCAAAUCCCUCUCUCUCCGCCA
rnacentral:tRNA from 1 species